rnacentral:rRNA from 1 species
GACGAACGCUGGCGGCGUGCCUAAUACAUGCAAGUCGGACGCACAGUUUAUACCGUAGCUUGCUACACCAUAGACUGUGAGUUGCGAACGGGUGAGUAACGCGUAGGUAACCUGCCUGGUAGCGGGGGAUAACUAUUGGAAACGAUAGCUAAUACCGCAUAAUAUUAAUUAUUGCAUGAUAAUUAAUUGAAAGGUGCAAUUGCACCACUACCAGAUGGACCUGCGUUGUAUUAGCUAGUAGGUGAGGUAACGGCUCACCUAGGCGACGAUACAUAGCCGACCUGAGAGGGUGAUCGGCCACACUGGGACUGAGACACGGCCCAGACUCCUACGGGAGGCAGCAGUAGGGAAUCUUCGGCAAUGGACGAAAGUCUGACCGAGCAACGCCGCGUGAGUGAAGAAGGGUUUCGGAUCGUAAAGCUCUGUUGUAAGAGAAGAACGGGUGUGAGAGUGGAAAGUUCACACUGUGACGGUAGCUUACCAGAAAGGGACGGCUAACUACGUG